CGAACGUAACCUUACCUGGGCUAGACAACAGUGGACCGUCCUAGAGAUAGGAUUUUCCCGUUCGGGGACCGCUGGUUCAGGUGCUGCAUGGCUGUCGUCAGCUCGUGCCGUGAGGUGUUGGGUUAAGUCCCGCAACGAGCGCAACCCUCGUACUUAGUUGCCACCAUUCAGUUGGGCACUCUAGGUAGACUGCCGGCGUUAAGCCGGAGGAAGGUGGGGACGACGUCAAGUCAUCAUGGCCCUUAUGCCCAGGGCCACACACGUGCUACAAUGGGCGGCACAAAGGGUCGCGAACCCGCGAGGGGGAGCCAAUCCCAAAAAGCCGUUCUCAGUUCGGAUUGGAGUCUGCAACUCGACUACGUGAAGUCGGAAUCGCUAGUAAUCGUGGAUCAGAAUGUCACGGUGAAUACGUUCCCGGGUCUU
rnacentral:rRNA from 1 species